AUUGAACGCUGGCGGCAGGCCUAACACAUGCAAGUCGAGCGGCAGCGGGAAAGUAGCUUGCUACUUUUGCCGGCGAGCGGCGGACGGGUGAGUAAUGCCUGGGGAUCUGCUCAGUCGAGGGGGAUAACUACUGGAAACGGUAGCUAAUACCGCAUACGCCCUACGGGGGAAAGCAGGGGACCUUGGGGCCUUGCGCGAUGGGAUGAACCGAGGUGGGAUUAGGUAGGUGGUGAGGUAACGGCUCACCAAGGCGACGAUCCCUCGCUGGUCUGAGAGGAUGAUCAGCCACACUGGAACUGAGACACGGUCCAGACUCCUACGGGAGGCAGCAGUGGGGAAUAUUGCACAAUGGGGGAAACCCUGAUGCAGCCAUGCCGCGUGUGUGAAGAAGGCCUUCGGGUUGUAAAGCACUUUCAGCGAGGAGGAAAGGUCAGUAGCUAAUAUCUGCUGGCUGUGACGUUACUCGCAGAAGAAGCACCGGCUAACUCCGUGCCAGCCGCCGCAGUAA
rnacentral:rRNA from 1 species